GCCUAACACAUGCAAGUCGAACGGUAACAGGAAGCAGCUUGCUGCUUCGCUGACGAGUGGCGGACGGGUGAGUAAUGUCUGGGAAACUGCCUGAUGGAGGGGGAUAACUACUGGAAACGGUAGCUAAUACCGCAUAACGUCGCAAGACCAAAGAGGGGGACCUUCGGGCCUCUUGCCAUCGGAUGUGCCCAGAUGGGAUUAGCUAGUACGUGGGGUAACGGCUCACCUACGCGACGAUCCCUAGCUGGUCUGAGAGGAUGACCAGCCACACUGGAACUGAGACACGGUCCAGACUCCUACGGGAGGCAGCAGUGGGGAAUAUUGCACAAUGGGCGCAAGCCUGAUGCAGCCAUGCCGCGUGUAUGAAGAAGGCCUUCGGGUUGUAAAGUACUUUCAGCGGGGAGGAAGGCGACAGGGUUAAUAACCCUGUCGAUUGACGUUACCCGCAGAAGAAGCACCGGCUAACUCCGUGCCAGCAGCCGCGGUAAUACGGAGGGUGCAAGCGUUAAUCGGAAUUACUGGGCGUAAAGCGCACGCAGGCGGUCUGUCAAGUCGGAUGUGAAAUCCCCGGGCUCAACCUGGGAACUGCAUUCGAAACUGGCAGGCUAGAGUCUUGUAGAGCGGGGGUAGAAUUCCAGGUGUAGCGGUGAAAUGCGUAGAGAUCUGGAGGAAUACCGGUGGCGAAGGCGGCCCCCUGGACAAAGACUGACGCUCAGGUGCGAAAGCG
rnacentral:rRNA from 1 species